rnacentral:tRNA from 1 species
GGCAUUGUAGCUCAUUUGGCUAGAGCAUUGGCUGUAUUAAAGCCUUCACCUUGCUGGUGUGGGUUCGAAUUCAACCAAAGCCA